rnacentral:tRNA from 1 species
GGAGAUAUAGCUCAAUAGGUAGAGUAUCGCUUGAAUAAUGUUCUAGGUUAGUAGGGCGAAGAUUAAAGGUUAGAAUCCUUUUAUCUCCAC